GCAAUGGUAUCGGCGCUGAUCGGCGCACGCUUAGCGGGACCGAGCGGGACGCUGCGUAACGACGGCGGUCGAUAACGCGCGCACUUCGGAAAACGCACGGAAAGGGAGUUCAUUAGCAGUAUAUAUGAAUACGAAAUAAUAUGAUUGUUCUGAUGAUGACAUAUUGUUACAAGUUUUAAGUCAGAUUGAUGGCAAAUAAGGACCAUUGCUACUAAAACCUCGUGUACAGAAUUACGUUCAAAACGUAGUUUCUGUAUUAUCAAAUGUAGACUUUAAAUCACAUUUUCGAAUGUCUUGAGGAACUUUCGAUUGGUUGUUGACCGUAGUAGGACCAAAGUUAGAGAAGA